CACGCCCUAAACGAUGUCAACUAGGUGUUGGGAGGGUAAAACCUUUUAGUACCGGAGCUAACGCGUGAAGUUGACCGCCUGGGGAGUACGGCCGCAAGGUUAAAACUCAAAGGAAUUGACGGGGACCCGCACAAGCGGUGGAUGAUGUGGAUUAAUUCGAUGCAACGCGAAAAACCUUACCUACCCUUGACAUGUCCAGAAGCUCUUAGAGAUUUGAGUGUGCCCGAAAGGGAACUGGAACACAGGUGC
rnacentral:rRNA from 1 species